UACGAAGGGGGCUAGCGUUGCUCGGAAUUACUGGGCGUAAAGCGCACGUAGGCGGCUUUCUAAGUCGGGGGUGAAAUCUUGGAGCUCAACUCCAGAACUGCCUUCGAUACUGGAAAGCUCGAGUCCGGGAGAGGUGAGUGGAACUGCGAGUGUAGAGGUGAAAUUCGUAGAUAUUCGCAAGAACACCAGUGGCGAAGGCGGCUCACUGGCCCGGUACUGACGCUGAGGUGCGAAAGCGUGGGGAGCAAACAGG
rnacentral:rRNA from 1 species